rnacentral:rRNA from 1 species
UGGGGAAUUUUGGACAAUGGGCGAAAGCCUGAUCCAGCAAUGCCGCGUGUGUGAAGAAGGCCUUCGGGUUGUAAAGCACUUUUGUCCGGAAAGAAAUCCUUGGCUCUAAUACAGUCGGGGGAUGACGGUACCGGAAGAAUAAGCACCGGCUAACUACGUGCCAGCAGCCGCGGUAAUACGUAGGGUGCAAGCGUUAAUCGGAAUUACUGGGCGUAAAGCGUGCGCAGGCGGUUUGCUAAGACCGAUGUGAAAUCCCCGGGCUCAACCUGGGAACUGCAUUGGUGACUGGCAGGCUAGAGUAUGGCAGAGGGGGGUAGAACUCCACGUGUAGCAGUGAAAUGCGUAGAGAUGUGGAGGAAUACCGAUGGCGAAGGCAGCCCCCUGGGCCAAUACUGACGCUCAUGCACGAAAGCGUGGGGAGCAAACAGGAUUAGAUACCCUGGUAGUCCACGCCCUAAACGAUGUCAACUAGUUGUUGGGGAUUCAUUUCCUUAGUAACGUAGCUAACGCGUGAAGUUGACCGCCUGGGGAGUACGGUCGCAAGAUUAAAACUUAAAGGAAUUGACGGGGUCAUA